rnacentral:rRNA from 1 species
GAUGAACGCUGGCGGCGUGUCUAACACAUGCAAGUCAACUUGACUGAAGGAGCAAUCUGACAGUAGAGUGGCGCAAGGGUGCGUAACGCGUAAGUAACUUGCCCCAAGGUAAGGAAUAACGUCGAGAAAUCGGCGCUAAUACCUCAUAAUGCAGCGGAUCCGCAUGGAUAAUGUUGUUAAAGGUUUACCGCCUUGGGAUAGGCUUGCGUCUGAUUAGCUAGUUGGUGUGGUAACGGCACACCAAGGCUACGAUCAGUAACUGGUCUGAGAGGAUGAUCAGUCACACUGGAACUAGAGACACGGUCCAGACUCCUACGGGAGGCAGCAGUGAGGAAUAUUGGCGAAUAGCUCGAAAG